UAUUAGGUUGGUGCAAAAGUAGUUGUGGUUUUGGUCAUUAAAAGUAAUGACCGAAACCAAAAUUAUUUUUGCACCAACCUAAUA
rnacentral:pre_miRNA from 1 species